rnacentral:rRNA from 1 species
AGAGUUUGAUCAUGGCUCAGAGUGAUCGCUGGCGGCGUGCUUAACACAUGCAAGUCGAGCGGUACUUGACAGUGUAUCGUCAAGUAUAGCGGCAGACGGGUGAGUAAUACUUGGGCAAUCUGCCCUUGAGAGGGAAACAACCGGCCGAAAGGCUGGCUAAUGUCCCAUAAGACCACAGGAUGGCAUCAUCCAGGGGUCAAAGCUCCGCAAGGGGCGCUUGAGGAGGAGCCCGAGUCCUAUCAUGGUAGUUGGUGAGGUAACGGCUCACCAAGCCUUUGACGGGUAGCCGGCCUGAAAGGGUGAUCGGCCACACUGGCACUGAGACACGGGCCAGACUCCUACGGGAGGCAGCAGUGGGGAAUUUUGGACAAUGGGGGCAACCCUGAUCCAGCGACGCCGCGUGAAGGAUGAAGGUCUUCGGAUUGUAAACUUCUUUUAGAGGGGAUGAACGCCUGCGUGAAUAACGCAGGGUGACAGUACUCUCUGAAUAAGCCACGGCUAACUACGUGCCAGCAGCCGCGGUAAUACGUAGGUGGCAAGCGAUACUCGGAAUCACUAGGCGUAAAGCGCAGGUAGGCGGUUCGGUAAGUCUUUUGUGAAAGCUCCCGGCUUAACUGGGAGAGGUCAAGGGAAACUACCGGACUAGAGUGUGGUAGGGGAUACUGGAAUUCCUGGUGUAGCGGUGAAAUGCGUAGAUAUCAGGAGGAAUACCUAUGGCGAAAGCAGGUAUCUGGGCCAUCACUGACGCUGAGCUGCGAAAGCUAGGGGAGCAAACAGGAUUAGAUACCCUAGUAGUCC